AAACCCCAUCUUUACAAUAUUACUACAAAUAUCUUCCCCUUCCCGAUCCCUCAGAAACUGUUAUCUCUCUGUUUGUGUGAAAAGAAAAGAAAAGAAAAUUUUGAGCGGCGGUGAGAAUCAGAAAGUUAGAGAGAUGGCGCCGCCGGAAACGGAGGGGCAAGUUGAGCCAGGAAGGCCGCAACAGCAACAGCAACAGCAACAGCGAGGAGGGUUCUCUCAGAUGCUAACGGGUGUGAUAAGGAUGGCAGUGUUUUGGUACUUCGCUUCCAAAUUCUUCUCUCCCAAACGACCCUCCGGCACCGAGCCCUCCCAGCUCAUCUCCAAUAUCUUCCAAAAGGCCGAGCCCCUAGACAUGUGGUUGUAUGUUUCUGAACAUGAAACGUUCAAUGACUUCGGCAAUGAAAACGCACUUAUUUGGCAAGAAAGUAAUAUUCCAUAUGCGGUUUGGGGACCGGAGAGUACGAGGUCUCUUUCUUUGAAGUAUUAUCCAUCUGAGGCUUUGAAGCACAAUGGAAGUCUGUAUGCCCACAUUUUCUUUGCACGCUCUGGUUACUCCCCAGACCCGAAUGAUCCAGAGUACCAACCUCUGGCUGCUUUUGGAAAAACACACUCUAUUAUAACAUACUUGCCCAAGUCAAAAACGGACAAAAGGAAGAGUUUAUUGGGGAGCUCCAAAGGUUCUGAUGAGGGUGAAGCAGUGACUGAGGUGGUUGAUGAUACUCAAGGUGAUUCUAAAGAUGAUAAACCUGUUGAAUGGAUUGCGUCUUGGAAACCAAAUAUUACAAUCAAUUUAGUGGACGAUUUUACACGAUACCCUCAUAAUGCUGUACCACCCAAUGUUGCUCCUUACUUGAAUGUUGAGCCUACUACAGGAAACUACUACCCAACCAUGUUCUUCAAUGAGUUCUGGUUACUCAGAGAUAAGUUGAUACCAAUUAAUGAGACAGUGACAGAAUUGACAUUAAAUCUGGAGGUGGGUCCCAUAAGCAUGACCAAGUGGCAACUAUUCCUGCAGAUUGACCAAUCUUUCCAGAUUCACCGUAGUUAUGGAAGCAUGCUCGAGGGCGAGGCUGAUGAGUUGAAGAGGGUUUUCUUGGAAGGAAAUCCAUACCUCCUGGUAAUCACAAUGGUUGUUUCACUACUUCAUUCAGUGUUUGACUUCUUGGCAUUCAAGAACGACAUCCAAUUUUGGAACAAAAAUAAAUCUAUGGAAGGACUGUCUGCAAAGUCUGUUGUUGUGAGCUUUAUAUGUCAGCUCAUUGUUUUCCUCUAUCUACUUGAUAAUGACACCUCAUGGAUGAUUCUUGCAAGUUCUGGAGUUGGGUGCUGCAUCGAGUUCUGGAAAAUUGGGAAAGCCAUGCACAUAGAGGUUGAUAGAAGUGGGAAAAUACCUAUGUUAAGGUUCCGGGAUCGUGAGUCCUAUGCAGGGAAUAAGACAAAGGAAUAUGAUGAUAUCGCAAUGAAGUAUUUGUCCUAUGUGCUCUUCUUCCUUGCUAUAUGCUCAUCUAUUUACUCCCUCAUGUAUGAACGCCACAAGAGCUGGUAUUCUUGGAUUCUUUCUUCACUGACAAGCUGUGUAUACAUGUUUGGUUUCAUAAUGAUGUGCCCUCAAUUGUUCAUAAAUUAUAAGCUGAAGUCUGUGGCUCAUCUACCCUGGAGGCAGAUGACAUACAAAUUCCUCAACACCAUCAUUGAUGAUCUCUUUGCCUUUGUCAUAAAAAUGCCAACUCUACAUCGGCUUUCUGUCUUUCGUGAUGAUGUUAUAUUUAUGAUAUAUCUGUACCAGAGGUGGAAAUAUCCAGUUGACAAGAAACGUGUGAACGAAUUUGGUUUUGGUGGUGAGGAUGAUCAGGUUGCUGAUGGUGCAGAGGUGACCGCUACAAAGGAAGAUGAUAAGAAAACCAACUGAAAUGUUUUUUCAAUUUAUCGAUCGAAACCUGUUACAGCUCGCUACUGUAAUAUUUAGUUAGGAUAAAUUGAUUACUUAUUUCUCGUUUUGUUUUACGCAUUUUCAUUAGUGUGUUUCAGAAAAAAGAAAAAAAAAAAAAAGCUUGGUUCUAGGCCAUUGGCUUCUCUUCUGGAAGAAUUUUAUGGCCCAGGAGGGUGUUGCUCCUCCCAUCAUGUGCCUUGAAAUGUCAGUUAUCAUUUGACGGCUUAGAUUUGGAGAGAAUACAUCAUGAAGAAACGUACAUUAUGUGCGAGCAGCUCUCAAUGAUAUCUUUUCAGUUGAUUAUUUGUCAUUUAUCUUGUCGUCA